GACGAACGCUGACGGCGUGCUUAACACAUGCAAGUCGAACGAUGAACCCGGAGCUUGCUCCGGUGGAUUAGUGGCGAACGGGUGAGUAACACGUGAGUAACCUGCCCUUGACUCUGGGAUAACUGCGGGAAACUGUAGCUAAUACCGGAUACGACCCUCAGCGGCAUCGCCAGGGGGUGGAAAGAAUUUCGGUCAAGGAUGGACUCGCGGCCUAUCAGCUAGUUGGUGAGGUAAAGGCUCACCAAGGCGACGACGGGUAGCCGGCCUGAGAGGAUGACCAGCCACACUGGGACUGAGACACGGCCCAGACUCCUACGUGAGGCAGCAGUGGGGAAUAUUGCACAAUGGGCGCAAGCCUGAUGCAGCAACGCCGCGUGAGGGAUGACGGCCUUCGGGUUGUAAACCUCUUUUAGUAGGGAAGAAGCGAAAGUGACGGUACCUGCAGAAAAAGCACCGGCUAACUACGUGCCAGCCGCCGCCGUAA
rnacentral:rRNA from 1 species